rnacentral:rRNA from 1 species
UACAGAGGGGGCAAGCGUUAUUCGGAAUUAUUGGGCGUAAAGCGCACGUAGGCGGUCCAGCAAGCGGGGAGUGAAAGCCCUCGGCUUAACCGAGGAAGUGCUUUCCGAACUACUGGACUUGAAUACUGAAGAGGAUCGCGGAAUUCCCGGUGUAGAGGUGAAAUUCGUAGAUAUCGGGAGGAACACCAGGUGGCGAAGGCGGAUCGUCUGGGCCAUAUCGUGACGCUGAGGAGCGAAAGCGUGGGGAGCGAAACAGG